rnacentral:tRNA from 1 species
GCCCACGUGGGGUAGUGGAUUAUCCUGAGGGACUGCGGAUCCCUCAACCCGGGUUCAAAUCCCGGCGUGGGCA